rnacentral:rRNA from 1 species
ACACAUGCAAGUCGAGCGGAUGAAGAGAGCUUGCUCUCUGAUUCAGCGGCGGACGGGUGAGUAAUGCCUAGGAAUCUGCCUGAUAGUGGGGGACAACGUUUCGAAAGGAACGCUAAUACCGCAUACGUCCUACGGGAGAAAGCAGGGGACCUUCGGGCCUUGCGCUAUCAGAUGAGCCUAGGUCGGAUUAGCUAGUUGGUGAGGUAACGGCUCACCAAGGCGACGAUCCGUAACUGGUCUGAGAGGAUGAUCAGUCACACUGGAACUGAGACACGGUCCAGACUCCUACGGGAGGCAGCAGUGGGGAAUAUUGGACAAUGGGCGAAAGCCUGAUCCAGCCAUGCCGCGUGUGUGAAGAAGGUCUUCGGAUUGUAAAGCACUUUAAGUUGGGAGGAAGGGCAUUAACCUAAUACGUUAGUGUUUUGACGUUACCGACAGAAUAAGCACCGGCUAACUUCGUGCCAGCAGCCGCGGUAAUACGAAGGGUGCAAGCGUUAAUCGGAAUUACUGGGCGUAAAGCGCGCGUAGGUGGUUUGUUAAGUUGAAUGUGAAAGCCCCGGGCUCAACCUGGGAACUGCAUCCAAAACUGGCAAGCUAGAGUAUGGCAGAGGGUGGUGGAAUUUCCUGUGUAGCGGUGAAAUGCGUAGAUAUAGGAAGGAACACCAGUGGCGAAGGCGACCACCUGGGCUAAUACUGACACUGAGGUGCGAAAGCGUGGGGAGCAAACAGGAUUAGAUACCCUGGUAGUCCACGCCGUAAACGAUGUCGACUAGCCGUUGGGAUCCUUGAGAUCUUAGUGGCGCAGCUAACGCAUUAAGUCGACCGCCCUGGGGAGUACGGCCGCAAGGUUAAAACUCAAAUGAAUUGACGGGGCCCGCACAAGCGGUGGAGCAUGGUGGUUUAAUUCGAAGCACGCGAGAACCUUACCAGGCCUUGACAUGCAGAGACUUUCAGAGAUGGAUUGGUGCCU